GAUGAAGAACGCAGCGAAAUGCGAUACGUAAUGUGAAUUGCAGAAUUCAGUGAAUCAUCGAAUCUUUGAACGCAUAUUGCGCUCUCUGGUAUUCCGGAGAGCAUGCUUGUUUGAGUAUCAGUAAACACCUCAACUCCCUUUUCUUUUUUGAAAUGGGAGCUGGACUUGAGUGAUCCCAACACUUUUCUCACUGGAAAGUGGCGGGUCACUUGAAAUGCAGGUGCAGCUGGACUUUUCUAUGAGAUAUAAGCAUAUCUAUUUAGUCUGCCUAAAAAACAGAUUAUUACCUUUGCUGCAGCUAACAUAAAGGAGAUGAGUUCUUGUGCUGACUGAUGCAGGAUUCACAGAGACAGCUUUGCGGCUGACUUUGUAAACUCGAUCUCAAAUCAAGUAAGACUACCCGCUGAACUUAAGCAUAUCAAUAAGCGGAGGA
rnacentral:misc_RNA from 1 species